AUUGAACGCUGGCGGCAGGCCUAACACAUGCAAGUCGAACGGUAGCACAGAGAGCUUGCUCUCGGGUGACGAGUGGCGGACGGGUGAGUAAUGUCUGGGAAACUGCCUGAUGGAGGGGGAUAACUACUGGAAACGGUAGCUAAUACCGCAUAACGUCGCAAGACCAAAGAGGGGGACCUUCGGGCCUCUUGCCAUCAGAUGUGCCCAGAUGGGAUUAGCUAGUAGGCGGGGUAACGGCCCACCUAGGCGACGAUCCCUAGCUGGUCUGAGAGGAUGACCAGCCACACUGGAACUGAGACACGGUCCAGACUCCUACGGGAGGCAGCAGUGGGGAAUAUUGCACAAUGGGCGCAAGCCUGAUGCAGCCAUGCCGCGUGUGUGAAGAAGGCCUUCGGGUUGUAAAGCACUUUCAGCGGGGAGGAAGGCGGUACGGUUAAUAACCGUGCCGAUUGACGUUACCCGCAGAAGAAGCACCGGCUAACUCCGUGCCAGCAGCCGCGGUAAUACGGAGGGUGCAAGCGUUAAUCGGAAUUACUGGGCGUAAAGCGCACGCAGGCGGUCUGUCAAGUCGGAUGUGAAAUCCCCGGGCUCAACCUGGGAACUGCAUUCGAAACUGGCAGGCUAGAGUCUUGUAGAGGGGGGUAGAAUUCCAGGUGUAGCGGUGAAAUGCGUAGAGAUCUGGAGGAAUACCGGUGGCGAAGGCGGCCCCCUGGACAAAGACUGACGCUCAGGUGCGAAAGCGUGGGGAGCAAACAGGAUUAGAUACCCUGGUAGUCCACGCCGUAAACGAUGUCGAUUUGGAGGUUGUGCCCUUGAGGCGUGGCUUCCGGAGCUAACGCGUUAAAUCGACCGCCUGGGGAGUACGGCCGCAAGGUUAAAACUCAAAUGAAUUGACGGGGGCCCGCACAAGCGGUGGAGCAUGUGGUUUAAUUCGAUGCAACGCGAAGAACCUUACCUGGUCUUGACAUCCACAGAACUUUCCAGAGAUGGAUUGGUGCCUUCGGGAACUGUGAGACAGGUGCUGCAUGGCUGUCGUCAGCUCGUGUUGUGAAAUGUUGGGUUAAGUCCCGCAACGAGCGCAACCCUUAUCCUUUGUUGCCAGCGGUUAGGCCGGGAACUCAAAGGAGACUGCCAGUGAUAAACUGGAGGAAGGUGGGGAUGACGUCAAGUCAUCAUGGCCCUUACGACCAGGGCUACACACGUGCUACAAUGGCAUAUACAAAGAGAAGCGACCUCGCGAGAGCAAGCGGACCUCAUAAAGUAUGUCGUAGUCCGGAUUGGAGUCUGCAACUCGACUCCAUGAAGUCGGAAUCGCUAGUAAUCGUAGAUCAGAAUGCUACGGUGAAUACGUUCCCGGGCCUUGUACACACCGCCCGUCACACCAUGGGAGUGGGUUGCAAAAGAAGUAGGUAGCUUAACCUUCGGGAGGGCGCUUACCACUUUGUGAUUCAUGACUGGGGUGA
rnacentral:rRNA from 1 species